rnacentral:lncRNA from 10 species
AGACAUUUGGGUUGUUUCCAGCAUGGGUUUAUUAGAAAGAGCACUGUAGCCGGGCAUGGUGGUUCAUGCCUGUUAAGUGAGCUGAGGCGGGAGGAUCACUUGAGCCCAAUAAUUCAAGACCAGCCUGGACAACACAAUGAGACCCUGUCUUUACAAAAAAAAGCUGAACGUGGUGGCUUGUGACAUGGUCCCAGCUACUUGGGAGGCUGAGGCACGAAGACUAAGUGAGCCCAGGAGGUCGAGGCUGCAGUGAGCUGUGAUCACACCACUGCACCCCAGCCUGGGUGACAUGGCAAGACCCUGUCUCAAAAAAAAAAAAAAAAAAAAAAAAGGUUGUACCAAUUUACACAUCUGCCAGCCACUCCAGUUGCCCCAAAUCCUCACCAAACUUGGUACUGUAUUUUGUAUUUUAGCCAUUCUAGUGAGGGCAUAAGAGUGUCACACUGUGAUUAUGUUUCUCUGGGAGGAUCACCUGAGCCCGGGGGGUAGAGGCUGCAGUGAGCCGAGAUAGAAGCUGGGCAACAUGAGACCCUGUUUGAAAAAAAUUAAAGUUAUCCCCCCCACCCAUAUAUAUAUACAGAGAGAGUUUAGGCAAUUAUUUUCUCCCUGUCUGUAAGUUGCCUUUGUACUCCUUAAUGAGUAUUUUGAUAAACAGAAACCUGUUCUCACUGCUACAUCAUUUCCAUUGUGUGAACAUCCCACGAUAAUGGCAAAGGAGGUUAAAUACAGCUUAAUUUAUUCAUCUUUUCCUCACUCCUAAGGCCUUGAAGAUACUCACUUACACUAUCUCCUACAAGCUCUCUCUCUCUUUUUUGAGACAGGGUCUCGCUGUCAGUCAUGCUGGAGUGCAGUGGCACGAUCACGGCUUGCUGCAGCAUCCACUUCUUGGGCUCAGGUGAUCCUCCCACCUCAGGUUCCCAAGUAGCUGAGACUACAGGCAUGCAUCACCACACCCAGCUCAUUUUUGUAUUUUUAGUAGAGACAGGGUUUUGCCAUGUUGGCCAGGCCAGUCUUGAAUUCCUGGGCUCAAGUGAUCUGCCCGCCUCGUCCUCCCAAAGUGCUAGGAUUACUACAGGCGUGAGCCACCACACCCGGGUGAAGCUCUAUAGUUUUGCUUAAUUUUUAAAACAUUAACUGAGGUAAAAUAUAUUAAUACAUGAAAUCUAUCAUUUUAACCAUUUUUAUGUGUACAAUUCAGUGCAUUAAGUACAUUCACAAUGUUAUGCAACCAUCACCACUCUCCAUUUCCAGAACAUCUUCAUCAUCCCAGAGAAUCUGUUUGCAGCCUCACUCCCUAUUCCACCCUUCCCCUAGCCCUGGCAACCUCUACCUUCUUGUCUCUGAAUUUGCUUAUUCUAGAUGCCUCAUCUAAAUGGAAUCAUAUUUGUCCUUUUGUGUCUGGCUUAUUUCAUUUAACAUGUUUUCAAAGUUCAUCCACGUUGUAGCUGGCAUCAGAACUUAAUGCCAGCCCCACACCCACCCCCUACCGUAUCAACUCACACAGAAGACAGGGGACAGGGCCAGCAGUAUCCUCUGCCACCUGGUCACCUACGUGGCCGACUGCCAAUGAGAAAAUAUUGCCCUCUAAGAAACCUUGGAGGGACUUCUUGGAGGCCGUUUGUGGGGGACAUGGGCUCCCAAAGCACAUACAUGGUGUAGGGUAGGAGGUAAGGAAGGUUGGCUGGGCUGUCCUCACAUAUGUGGCAGUGGAGCAAAGGAUCCCAAGGGAGGUGGCUUCCAUAGUGAAGGAGCAACGCAGAAGCCAAGCGAGCUGCAGCCCAAAGGCAGGGUGCUGGGUGAGGUGUGGCCAGGCAGGAAAAUGGGCCCCCACUCAGGACUGCCACUUCCCAGCCCAGACACACACAGAGCACAAAGGGGAAAGCAUGGGGCAG